AGAAUCAACGCUGGCGGCGUGCCUAACACAUGCAAGUCGCACGAGAAAGGGACUUCGGUCCUGAGUAAAGUGGCGCACGGGUGAGUAACACGUGAAUCAUCUACCUCCGAAUGGGGAAUAACUGAGAGAAAUCUUAGCUAAUACCGCAUAAUACCUACGGGUCAAAGCAGCAAUGCGUUUGGAGAGGAGUUCGCGGUCGAUUAGUUAGUUGGCGGGGUAAUGGCCCACCAAGACGAUGAUCGAUAUCCGGCCUGAGAGGGCGCACGGACACACUGGAACUGAAACACGGUCCAGACUCCUACGGGAGCAGCAGUGGGGAAUUUUGCGCAAUGGGGGGAACCCUGACGCAGCAACGCCGCGUGGAGGAUGAAAUAUCUUGGUAUGUAAACUCCUUUCGAUGGGGAAGUAUAAUGACGGUACCCAUAGAAGAAGCCCGGCUAACUCGUGCCAGCAGCCGC
rnacentral:rRNA from 1 species